rnacentral:tRNA from 1 species
GGGGCUGUAGUUCAGUUGGGAGAACGUUUGACUGGCAGUCAAAAGGUCAGGGGUUCGAGUCCCCUCAGCUCC